UUCCAUCAUCUCCUAACUUUAAACGGAAAGAAAAAUAAAAUAAAAUGGGGGACAUCUUUCUCUGGAAAUCUUGGAUGAGGAAGCGUUGUAAAGAUUUAAGUGCAUGGAGUUGUUGACGAUGAUGUUGCUGCGAUUGUCUUAAUUUUCGAGAUGGUUAAAAUUGAAGAAAUAAAUCCUUGUUGGUCUGUUGGCUUUUGUUGGUAUCCUUGAGUAUCUUGUUAUAAUGGACCCAGUAAGCAUAUCACACUUUCAUUUAAGAUUUUAUAACUUUGAUGUAACUUGCGUAUCUCAUUCAUAUAGGUUAUGGGUUUACAAGGAUCUCAUCUCGAUCUCUUUGCAUAUUUUGUAUGUAUAUGAAUGUUUCAUUUUUCGGAGGUGUCAUUUCUACUUUAUGCCCUUGAAAUAUUCAUAUUAAAUUUGGAAUUCUAGGUUCUAUAUAAACAUCUUAUAAUGAGAAACUUAUAUGCACUUUGUGCACAUUAUACUUAUAUGGGAUUGUAGGUGAUCACUUUUACUGUUUGGUUUACUGAUGUGACUUGCUAUACUAACCGACUGUACUUGAGGUGAUAUGUUCCAGUAGAGAUUCUGCGUAUCAAUUAUGGAUUUUAGUUGUUCUCCGAGUGUUUUUCUUUAUUUGUAUGUCAUCAUAAUAUUCAUAAUACGUAUGCAUGGAUUCUCGGAAGCGAAAUGACUUUUGAUCUGUUUUUAUUAUGUACCCUUAGUAAGUUUACGGCCUCUGUUCAUUUCAUUGGGUUAACUUAGCUAAGUUUUAGCGAAUUCAUUUAGUUGGAAAUGAAGGAAAAUGUAACUAUGUUUUGAUUGAAAAAAAAUUGUUUCUAGCACGUAAGGGAGUCUAUGGUUGGUGCUAAAAUCACCGGUUCUACCGUAUUAGAUGUCUACUCGGUGAACUAUUAGAAGGGCUAAUAACAACGAAAGCUCGUUCGCUGUUUCAUUUGGUAUCACUUGUUAAGCCCUCUUAUAUAGACUAAUACUUCUCAUCUGUUUUGUUUGGUCCAAGUUGAGUACAGUGAUGUGCAUCAUUUCUUGUUGGUGUGUUUUAUUCCAAAACUACUUCUAUGGUGUUAUGGGUGAAGUUUAUAUGGUAAAGACCUGCAUAGCUUUAUGGGGUUUUGUCAGUAAAUAUAUCUUAACUGCCAAAGAAUAGGGCCGGUCUGUAUACAGUGAUGUAAUUAUGAGAAGUGAAGUCUUACUGUGGAUGGAUAUAUUAAGUAUUCGUACAGAUAAAUAGGAACUCUUGUUUUCAUUUGUAACAUCUUGUUGAACUAAGUUUGAUGAACCAAGGAAAUAACAACAUAAAUACCAGGAUAUCAUGACUAUUCUACAUUGAAUUAUUGAGGUACUGUGAGUGGACAAUUCUUUGACUAUUUGUGUGAAGUUGAGAAAGUCUUUCAUUUUUACACAUUGGAGGUACAGGGUGCAGUAUGUAUAUGGGAUGUUAGUUUGGAUUAAAUAUUAGGAGACUACCAAUACUAAUGGUUUUGUUUGUAUCUUAGUUUGCACAUCAAGGAUAAUGUUUAUUUAUGGUUGGUUCACGAUUUCAGUAUAAAAUUUAUUUUAGUUGUCGGAUA